rnacentral:rRNA from 1 species
AGUGAACGCUGGCGGUAGGCCUAACACAUGCAAGUCGAACGGCAGCACAGGAGAGCUUGCUCUCUGGGUGGCGAGUGGCGGACGGGUGAGGAAUACAUCGGACUCUACUCUGUCGUGGGGGAUAACGUAGGGAAACUUACGCUAAUACCGCAUACGACCUACGGGUGAAAGCAGGGGAUCUUCGGACCUUGCGCGAGUGAAUGAGCCGAAGUCGGAUUAGCGAGUUGGCGGGGUAAAGGCCCACCAAGGCGAGGAUCCGUAGCUGGUGUGAGAGGAUGAUCAGCCACACUGGAACUGAGACACGGUCCAGACUCCUACGGGAGGCAGCAGUGGGGAAUAUUGGACAAUGGGCGCAAGCCUGAUCCAGCCAUAUCGCGUGGGUGAAGAAGGCCUUCGGGUUGUAAAGCCCUUUUGUUGGGAAAGAAAUCCAGCUGGCUAAUACCCGGUUGGGAUGACGGUACCCAAAGAAUAAGCACCGGCUAACUUCGUGCCAGCAGCCGCCGCCG